CCUACGGGAGGCAGCAGUGAGGAAUAUUGGUCAAUGGGCGAGAGCCUGAACCAGCCAAGUCGCGUGAGGGAGUACUGCCCUAUGGGUUGUAAACCUCUUUUGUCGGGGAGCAAAAGCCGGACGUGUCCGGCUGUGAGAGUACCCGCAGAAAAAGCAUCGGCUAACUCCGUGCCAGCAGCCGCGGUAAUACGGAGGAUGCGAGCGUUAUCCGGAUUUAUUGGGUUUAAAGGGUGCGCAGGCGGAUUUUUAAGUCAGCGGUAAAAUCGUGGGGCUCAACCCCAUCCAGCCGUUGAAACUGGGGAUCUAGAGUGUGCGAGAGGUAUGCGGAAUGCGUGGUGUAGCGGUGAAAUGCAUAGAUAUCACGCAGAACCCCGAUUGCGAAGGCAGCAUACCGGUGCACAACUGACGCUCAGGCACGAAAGCGUGGGUAUCGAACAGGAUUAGAUACCCCGGUAGUC
rnacentral:rRNA from 1 species